UUUUUUUUAGAUCAAUGAAGCUUUUGCAGCUCAAACAUUGUCUUGUGCAAAGGAAUUGAAUUUAGAUAUAACUAAACUAAAUGUGAAUGGCGGGGCUAUUGCAUUAGGUCAUCCACUGGCCGCGUCAGGUUCUAGAAUCACUGGACAUCUUGUUCACGAGUUGAGGAGAAGAAAUGCAAAAAUGGGUAUUGGAUCAGCCUGUAUCGGAGGAGGACAAGGAAUAGCAAUCAUGGUAGAAACAGUGUGAAUGUACUUUUAUAUCAUCAAUUUACAAUGUUAUCAAUGUCAUGUUUUUAUAUUCAUUAAGAAUGAAAUUUUUGCUACAGUAA